rnacentral:rRNA from 1 species
AUUGAACGCUGGCGGCAUGCCUUACACAUGCAAGUCGAACGGUAACGGGCCUUCGGGUGCCGACGAGUGGCGAACGGGUGAGUAAUGCAUCGGAACGUACCUUUCAGUGGGGGAUAACGUAGCGAAAGUUACGCUAAUACCGCAUAUUCUGUGAGCAGGAAAGCAGGGGAUCGCAAGACCUUGCGCUGAUUGAGCGGCCGAUGUCAGAUUAGCUAGUUGGUGAGGUAAAGGCUCACCAAGGCGACGAUCUGUAGCGGGUCUGAGAGGAUGAUCAGCCACACUGGGACUGAGACACGGCCCAGACUCCUACGGGAGGCAGCAGUAGGGAAUAUUGGUCAAUGGACGAAAGUCUGAACCAGCCACGCCGCGUGAAGGAUGACGGCCCUAUGGGGUUGUAAAACUUCUUUUUGUCAGGGGAAAAAAACCCCCAUACGUGUAUGGGGCUGAUUGUACCUGGAGAAUAAGGAUCGGCUAACUCCGUGCCAGCAGCCGCGGUAAU